UACGGAGGGUGCAAGCGUUAUCCGGAUUCACUGGGUUUAAAGGGUGCGUAGGUGGGCAGUUAAGUCAGUGGUGAAAUCUCCGGGCUCAACCCGGAAACUGCCAUUGAUACUAUCUGUCUUGAAUAUCGUGGAGGUAAGCGGAAUAUGUCAUGUAGCGGUGAAAUGCUUAGAUAUGACAUAGAACACCAAUUGCGAAGGCAGCUUACUACCCGAAUAUUGACACUGAGGCACGAAAGCGUGGGGGAUCAAACAGGA
rnacentral:rRNA from 1 species